rnacentral:rRNA from 1 species
UAUUGCGAGAAGGUCACACCCGUUCCCAUCCCGAACACGGUAGUUAAGCUUCUCUGCGCCAAUGGUAGUUGGGGGCUUCCCCCUGCGAGAGUAGGUCGCUGCCGGGC